rnacentral:rRNA from 1 species
AGUGAACGCUGGCGGUAGGCCUAACACAUGCAAGUCGAACGGCAGCACAGAGGAGCUUGCUCCUUGGGUGGCGAGUGGCGGACGGGUGAGGAAUACAUCGGAAUCUACUCUGUCGUGGGGGAUAACGUAGGGAAACUUACGCUAAUACCGCAUACGACCUACGGGUGAAAGCAGGGGAUCUUCGGACCUUGCGCGAUUGAAUGAGCCGGUGUCGGAUUAGCUAGUUGGCGGGGUAAAGGCCCACCGAGGCGACGAUCCGUGGCUGGUCUGAGAGGAUGAUCAGCCACACUGGAACUGAGACACGGUCCAGACUCCUACGGGAGGCAGCAGUGGGGAAUAUUGGACAAUGGGCGCAAGCCUGAUCCAGCCAUACCGCGAGGGUGAAGAAGGCCUUCGGGUUGUAAAGCCCUUUUGUUGGGAAAGAAAUCCAUCUGGUUAAUACCCGGGUGGGAUGACGGUACCCAAAGAAUAAGCACCGGCUAACUUCGUGCCAGCCGCCGCCGUAA